AUAUUUACCUGGCGUAGGGAUACCGUGAUCAUGCAGGCGGUUUCUCCAGGGUGAGGCUGCUCCAUUGCACUGCGGAGUGGUUGACCCUUGCGAUUAUUUUUAUUUUUUAUAAGUUUCACUUCUACUGUGUGUGACUUGCACACACACACA
rnacentral:snRNA from 9 species